rnacentral:rRNA from 1 species
UACGUAGGGGGCGAGCGUUGUCCGGAGUUACUGGGCGUAAAGGGCACGCAGGCGGUGCGGCGCGUUUCGCGUGACAGCGGAGGGCUUAACUCUCCGAGGAUGCGAAAGACGGCGGCACUUGAGGGCCAGAGAGGGACACGGAAUUCCGGGUGGAGUGGUGAAAUGCGUAGAGAUCCGGAGGAACACCGAAGGCGAAGGCAGUGUCCUGGCGCGUAACUGACGCUGAGGUGCGAAAGCCAGGGGAGCGAACGGG